UACAGAGGGGGCAAGCGUUGUUCGGAAUUACUGGGCGUAAAGGGCGCGUAGGCGGCCUUCUAAGUCGAACGUGAAAUCCCCGGGCUCAACCCGGGAACUGCGUCCGAGACUGGAAGGCUCGAAUCCGGGAGAGGGAUGUGGAAUUCCAGGUGUAGCGGUGGAAUGCGGUAGAGAUCCGGAAGAACACCGGUGGCGAAGGCGCCCGCUGGGCAGGAAGACACCGCAAGGUGUCGGCUGACGCUGAGGCGCGCAGCGUGGGGAGCAACAGG
rnacentral:rRNA from 1 species